GAAGUGACUGAGAUUACCAAAUGGAGUAGUCUAGAUUUCACAUGCAACACGGCUGUGCCUUUCCUGAGAGCUCCAGGUCUUGGCUGAGGAAAUAGGAUAAGUAGAUUUUGAACAGAGGGAGAGGAGAGCACAUCUGAGCACCUGGAGGGAUCUUCAGUGGAGGUGGUGGGUCAAGGAGACCCCCAACAUGGGGACGUGUCAAGGAGAAGAAGAAAACCUGGGUGUCCCAAAGCUGUCCGCUUGCGCAGGGCUGGACAUCUCUGCUGUAGGUUUUCUCUGUCUCCAACACCUGCUUCUUGCCUGGGAGGGCAUGUGGCCAGGGCUGCACCCGCCUCACACCCCAGCACUGACUCCUGUCCUCAAUUCUCUUCUCUGUCCUCCCUCCAUGUUCUGCUGCGGUGUGUGGGAGAGAGGACAGUUGUGGUUUUAAUUACGACAGGCUCCUUCAGGAGGUGGAAUUAUAUCACCAUUAUGAGUCUUUCAACCUUGAGAAGUCUUGGAAAACCAAGGCUAAUCACCCUGGUGUAGUCCACGGCUGAAAUCUCCAGGUCCUGUGACAAUAAGGACAGGUAAAGGUGACUGCGGUGUGGAAAUCGCCCUGCAGUCUGGGGCCCUGUUCUGUCAUCUGCCCUACCCACGUUCUUGAAGUUUUUUGCAAAAACUUCGCUGUCCUGUGCAGGAGUUGUGUGUCUGGGUGUAUUUUUGUGGGUGUAUGUGUUUCAGAAACUUUUCAUCUCAAUCACAAAGAGGUUUGUAGCCAGGAGGUUUCUGAAAUGUAUCAUGGAUGGAGACAACCCUCCACCAGUGCCCUGGUGCUUCUGCUGAGGUGAGUCCGGAUGACCUUGUCACCCCCCUUGGAGAGGAUAUUUGUAAGAACCAGACACAGAGCACAUGUGGGGAGUGAGUGUUGGAGGAGGCCCAGAGCAGAUGGAGAGAGGCAGACAGGGAACCUCCCUCUGCAGCGAUGUCACUGAAGACGUGCCUGGAGCUGUCUUCUCCUCCUCGGUCUUUGACAGAGAGGUGUUCCCUGGCCAGCGUCUGCAUCAACACCCAUUUCAUUUCUGGAAAUCCACUCCCCCCCUACCUCCAGAAGUCCACAGCUCAAUCCCAUGAUCUUUGAACGGAAGGAAGGAAGGGAAAAUCUGUUGGGCCUGGCUAAGGAGAGAGUGGGAGGAAGGUGACCUUGGGGACACAUUCUUGUGAGGGGAAGGACAGAGCUGGUUGGAUGGGGUCUGCCUGGCGGCCUAGUGAGCUCAGGCUGCCAUCAUAAGACACCACAGCCCGGUGGCUGAAAUGAUAGAAAUAUGUUCCUCGCAGCUCUGGAAGCCGGGUGCUGAGACCACGGUGCCAGCACGGUUGGGUCCUGGCUUGCAGAUGGUCACCUUCUCACUGUCCUCACAUGGCCUUUCCUAGCUUUGUGUGCCUGGAGACAGGGAGCGAUUUUGGUCUUCCUCUCACAAGGGCACCGUCUCAGUCCAUUUGGAUGCUACAGUGAAGUGCUGGAUGAUUAAGAACAGAAAUGUGUUGCUCAGAAUUGUGGAAGGCGGCAAGUCCAAAGUCAAGGUGCCAACAGACCCAGUGUGUGGCGAGGGCUGUGAACUCUGCUUCAGAGAUGGUGCCCUCUUGCUGGGUCCUCAGAUGGUACAAUUGGAAAGAGUUUUCUCUUCAGUCUCUUUUAUAGAGGCAUGAAACUUAAUCAUGAGGCGCCAUCCCUCUGACCCAAUCACCUCUCAAAGCCCUCAACUCCUAAUGUCAACUUGGCCUUUGGGGUUAAGUGUCCACAUGUUGAUUUUGCGGGGACGCCUGCAUUCGGAACGCAGUAGUACACCCUAAUCCCACCAGUGUCCUACCCUCAUGAUCUCAUCUAAAAUUCGUUACCUCCUAAAGGCCCUACCUCCAGUGGCUAUCACAUUGGGAUUCAGGCUUCAACAUGAGUUUCUGGGGACACCCACAUUCCACUCACAGAAUCCUGGUAGGGUCUCAGAGCCCAGCCUGCCCGUAGCUGCUCUGCCUGGUGGAGUUCAGCCCCCUGCCCCCGGCCCUCCUCACUCCCUGCCGUGAGGAUCUCCUCUUCCUGGGGGUGUCGGGGAGGUGACAGCCCUGGAGGCUGAGUGGGGAGAGAGGCAGAGGAAACUUCUGAGAAAUCUAGCUCAAUCACUUUACGGUUCCAUAGACACACACUGGGCUUUGAUUUUGAACUGGACCACAGGUAUUGGAGCUUUCUAACGGGUUAAAUAAGCAAACAAAACAAAACAGCCACGGCCCAAACAAUGAAAAAAAAAAAUUGCACUCACAUUUAAAAAAUUUUAAUAAGUUUUGCAGUAGAGGGGGAGGAGGGACAGGGAUUCCCCGAUGCUUGGGAUGUAGCGGCAACCCUGACGUGGUGGGAAGAGAGGACGGAGGGAUGGGUGGUUUGCAUGCUGUGGCCACCAGCACAGCUUGUCACCUCUCCAUUCAGGGCGCUCACCCCUGAGGGGGGGCAGGAAGGCGAGGAGCAGGGGGAGUUCAUUCUCGCACCAGUUGCAUGAAAAGUCUCUGUGUUUUCGUUUUUCUUCUUUUUACUUGGAUUCAUAUAAAAGUCCCCCAUCAUUUGUGCCUGAGUGUCUACUGUGACUCCACGUUAUGUCCCAGGAGUGUGAACCCCAGGAGCCAGCUCUCGCCACCUUCAAAGACAAAGUCGCUGCCAGCAAGGCUGCCCAGUCCCCUCCACACAGGGAGGCUCUGUCUUUAGGCACAAUGGCCUCGAAGCAUUACUGCCUCGUUUGCUUUAAGCAGAUACCAGGAUUUGCAAUUUUUGAAAGCAAAUUCAAUUAACAUCCUUUACUUUGGGGGUGUUUCUUUUUUUGCCCUUCGAAAGUCACUCACCCCCCGUCUGUUGACAGCAGAACCUCAGAUCCAGGCCGUGGGGGACUGUUUUCUUUCACUGUGCUCCUCUGUGGUGAAAGAAGUUAAAAGUAAGCCCUUUUCAGUCUCCAUAUUCACAGUUAUUGAAGGAAAGAGCCAAAUUAUCCUUCUGAAUGUUGUAAGACCCGAGUUGACCCCAAAUUGUGCUGUGAGAGGAAACAGAUGGGAAAAUAAAAGAUGUCCUUUUUAAAAGAAACCCUUUCUUAGAGCAGGGCUUCUAUGGAGAACGCGCCCCCAUUCCCAAGAACGAGGAGGUCCCCACGCGAGCCCCGCACAGCUGAUUGGCCUAAGCAAUCUGGUGGAGGAGCAAAUCCACCGCCUGAUCACCGCAUUGUAAUUGGUUUUGAAAACACAUUUGCAAAAAUGGCAGGAAGCCAAAUCCCCCGCUCUCUGCACUGCUUUCCAUCCGCGAGGGCGUGUUCCGUAUUUAAAGUAUUUUCCUUCUCUGUGACCACCAGAAUUCCAAAGGGAUAAAAUAUCCCAAAUCUUUUGUGAACUGGGUCCUGGCUUCAGGCAACCUCCCCAUGGUAAGGAGAGACCACGCUCAGGUUUUCCUAUCUUCCCAGCAGGAUAAAACUGGCCAAGAGUUUGCUCCUGUUGCUCAGGGCUGGCUCAAGUAGGAAGCAGACUGGAUCGCCAGGGACUUCAAGUCCAAUAAAUGUAGAAAUGUCUUUCGAAGGCCUAGAGAGCACACGAAGGCAUGAGUGUGAACACGUGUGUGCUAUUUUCUGGUUGCAGUACAUGAGUGAGAUGGUAGCUUUGGAUUUUUGCUGAGAUCUGGUCUGGUCUUUCCUUCUACUCUCCCUUCCUCCCUUGCUUCCUAUACAAAGGAUUGGACUCAGGGGUGUCUAACCACUGAGCCACAUCCCCAGCCCUUUAUUAUAUUUUAUUUAGAGUCAGGGUUUUGCAAAGAUGCUUAGGGCCUCACCAAAGUUGCUGAGGCUGGUUUUGAACUCAUGAUCCUCCUGACUCAGCCUCUGAGCUGCCAGGAUCACAGGUGUGUGCUCCGUACCUGGCUUGAGAUUCGGUAUUUCCAAUUCAGAGGCCAAGCUUUGUGUCUUAGCUGCACGUGACGAGCAAGAAGCAGGUGGAGAUGAGGAUCACUUUCGUCCUGGUGGCGGACAGAUGUUACUGUUGGGAUGGGCACUGGAGAGGUCAUCAUAGUGCUGGUGGCGGUGUGCCUGUACUAAAGGCAGAAAGAAAGCUACGGAAUUCAGAUUCUCCACAGUAGAAGUUUUGGCCUUUGUUUUAGCUUUUGUGCUACGAAGAGUUGCUAUAAAUAUGAACGUGACUGGCAAAAUCUGCAGAUUAAGUAAAACCUGUGAAGGCUAUAACAUGCUUCAUACACACCCCGCAGUGGCAGCGUCUAUUCAUAGACGCACGUUCUAGAAUUCACCCUCUUUCGCGGUCUUUUAAAAGCUCACUCAUUCUGUGUUUAUGUGUACUUUUCUCCUCCCCUCUCUUGUUUUGAGCAGCCUCACUGGAGAUGUGUGAGCAGGGUAGCUUUCAAGAUUGUAUCGUCUAGAUCAAAGGGCAGGACUAUUCCCUGAUGUGGGCCAAGGGAUUAUUUCACAAGAAAUCCUCUGUGACAUGUGGGAUGACAUGACACUUGGGAAACAUAAGGAUAUAAGUCAAUAUUCCCUCACCAGCUUCAAAGUUGGAAAUCUUUUAUAUAAGGCUUUUUUUUAAAAUAAUUAAAUUACAAUCUUUUUUUUCUUGCUGUUGCUCCUUGUCUAUUACUCUCUCAUUGCAACUGACACCUGAAAAAUUUCCCUGCUAAUUUUUUCUGGUGAUUUUGCCCCUAGGGUGUGCAUUCACAAUCUUGGCUGCAGCAGGACGUUGGGGUCUUGCUACUCCUUGACAUCCUGGUCCCUCCUUUUCAGCAAGGCCUAGAAGGAGAUUCACUUUGCUUCAGGACUGGGCAAAUUCAAAGUAUUUAAAUCCUUCCUGCUUUUUUUUUUUUUUAACCUCUCUGAGUCAGGAGUAGCUGGAAAUCCUGGGCAUCUACAUCCACUUGGAUUUUGCAAAAACAGACCCUGUGAUAGGAAUUUUUGUGACUCGUCACAGGUAACAUCUGGUCUGAACAGGAAAGACCAAACUGGGAACGAACUCUUUCCAAUGAAUGUCUCUGCUCCCCAAGGCACAUCCCCUGGAUGGGAUUUAGAUUGUGUCAAUCUUAAUCUUUAAAAUCUCUGACCUGUUUUCCUCCUGGGUCCUGGAAGAAGGCUUGUGACAGGAGGCUGGGAACGUUUCAAGUGUGCUCCACCUGGGUGCUUCUCAGACUUCAGUGUGCUUCUCCUUCUCUGAACCAUUUGUCAAAAUGCAGAUUCCGGUCCCUUAGGUUGGGGUGGGUGGGGCUCAAGAUUCUGCCUUUUGGGAAGUGCCUCUUGGUGCUCGGGAGCCCACUCCAAGGCCUAAAUGAUUCCUUCUGGCUUCCUCAGUGACAGUGAGGGAGGUUGGACAUGGGGUGGGCAGGGUGCAAAGGUUCUGGAAAAUUCCGGCUCACAGGCCCACCAGUGUUCUGCCCAUUUGCAGGCCUUCUGCCUUUAGGUUUGGAAUAAACCAAGCCAGACUGUACUCUUUCGGGAGCCUGCCUGUGGGAGACGGAGUAGAGACAGGUUUCAGAAGGGAAAGAGAUGAGGCCGAUACAGAGAAAGAUAAAGACGGACGAGACAGACAGUCUCUGCUGUAAUUCCUGUCACUCUCUAUCUCUCCCAUCCUUUCCUCUCUGUUUCAAUUUCUUUUUUUCUCCAUCUUGUGUCCCUCAUUGCUUUUCUGUCUGUUGUGAGAUAACAGAAUAAUUUCACUAAAGCUCAGAGGUAGUGGGGGCUUGGAAAGCAGCACCUGAGCCCUAACUCUGCCAGCGGAUGUAGCUGGGAGCUGGGCCGGUCACCAGGGGUCUCUGGGCCUCAGUUUCCUUUUCUGUACUGUGAGCCAGGUUGGUGAGGCUCUUUCCUGCUCCCCACUGCUAAGAUUUAUAAUCCAUGUAAAUAUGUUUAUCUGCUACUUGGGGCAAAUCUGUUCAACUUUCAAUGUAAAUGAGCUAACUGUGAGUCGUCAGGGUUACUGAAGUGCAUAAUUCCCAUUUCUGCGGGGCGUGCAGCCCCGCGCUUCCGAAGCUCUGGAGUGAGAAUCAUACCCACCCCUCCUAGCACCACCCCAGCGCGUGGGGUGUGCGUGAACCACCCUCCGGAUUUCUCAGAAUUAAAAAUCUGUUCUUCUUUAGGGCUUUCACAGCCUUUGUCAUUUCAGCAAUUUAAACGAUUAUCAUUAUUAUUAUUCAUAUCGUUUUAGGGGCAGAUUCUCAUCUAUGUCCCCAGAGUCGGAACACUCGCUUGGAACCCUUCAGUAGAAGCCUGUUUUGUACAGAAUGCCAGACUUGGUGCUUCUUGGGAAAGGGCCCUGUUGCUUCAGGAGAGCUGGGGUGUGGUGGAGGGAAGGGGAGGGACCCAACACCUCUCUUUUGAUUUUCCUGUAAUCGUUUGUGUUGCAAAUGCCACAGGCAAUAGGUAACCAGACAAGAAACUGGGAGAAGAAAGACAGAAGCCAGGAAGCAUGGCGGAGGGUAAGGCCUGUCCACUGGAGUCUGUCAUCCCCCAGGAAGAGUCUCAGCUAGGCUCGGUCCUUGUUCUGCGUCUGUAGAGAUCAUGGAAACCAGCUGGGAGAGAGGUUGACAUUGUUCUGGAACAUUUGGCAAUGAUACAGAGAAACAGGACUUCACCUAUGGCAGUUAUCAACGGACAAAACCACUACAACUUACCUGGGCCGGGUGGUGCCUGCCUGUAAUCCCAGCGGCUUGGGAGGUUGAAACAGGAGGAUCCCCAAGUUUAAAGCCAGCCUCAGCAAAAGCAAGACACUAAACAACUCUGUGAGACCUUGUUUCUAAAUGAAAUCCAAAAAAGGGCUGGGGAUGUGGCUCAGUGGUUGAGUGUCCCUGAGCUCAAUCCUCGGUACUACAAAAGAACUACCACAAUUUAGUAGAAAGACCUUAUCUGCAAUUUUGAAAGCAGGCCGCACUUCACUCCGUGAAAUCGAGUAAAGUAGACAGCAGGACCUGAAGAAGAGAAAGUGGAUCAGACAUUCCAAAACGACUCUCCUCGUAAGGACAAGAAGAUAGAACUAUAGAAAAAUACCUGGUUAACAUCGGGUUACUUCCCAUUACCUUUUUUUCCUCUCUCUCUCUCUCUUUUUUUAUUUUUAAUCGUAAGGAUUAAGACAGAGGGAAGUUCUUUAUCGUGCCAAUUGAAACUGGGCAGUGGGGGAAAUCUGGCUGUUAUUUCUGCAAUCCUGAUUUCUAGGAAGGUCAGGUAACAGCUUAUUUUUGGUUUGGUGCCCUGGAACUUUAGUGCGAGUGACUUCAUUUUGAAUUUUGGUAGAGGAGUCUCGUCCCAACCAAUGGCCUCCUAUAAUUUUUGCUUGACAGUAGCUAGGGGCACUUAGAGAUUGCUUCUUAGAAAUGGCGACUAACACAGAGGGUCUUCAUCUGUGUUGUCACAUGUCCCUGGGCACCCAAGGUCCCUUAGCCGGUGAGGGUGGCGAUAAGAGAGCAGCCCUAAAUCCCAAGCAUCCCUUCAUGGGAUGGAACCUGUGGGACCAAGCAGUCCAGACCGGAGGGGACGGGAAGGCAGCCUAUGAACCUUCCAGAGAGGGUACCCAGAUCAUCACUCGCCUUUGAUGGACUUCAGCCUUGACCCUCGGACCUCAAAGUGCGUUCACAAAUAAGCAAUCAGCCAAGCCAAACAUGCCAGUCGAGAGAUCAGUUUCCCAGAACUGCUACUUCAGAGAAUUUUCAGUACAUCUGGGGAGGUAGGAGAUAGGAGCUCGUCCUAGCCGAAUGCUUCUGAGGGUCUCUAUAACGCCUUUCAGACGCUGUCCAUGUUCAUCUACCUGAUGAAACCUCUUCUAAGGAGAAAGGCAUGGAAAACUCUUGGUCAAAGGCCCCGUCCUGAUUCAUUUUCUUCUCUUUCUCUCUCUCUCCCCCUCUCCUCUAUGCUGAGAUGGAGCCCAGGGCCUCGUGCACGUAGACAGGUGCUCUGCCACUGAGCCAUCCAGCUCUUCAGCUGCUUCCCAAGGGGCCUCUCUGCUGCCUCGCCUGCCCUGUUCCAAAGAACUCUCUUCAGUGCAGCCAGAGAGAUCAGCUGGAACUAUAAGUCAGAUGGGGCCAUCCUUUGUUAUAAAUGGCUUUCAUAACUUUUCAUGGCGAUGUCUAACUUUUAACAUGACAGACACCUAUGAAUCUCUUGCCCACAAGAAGUGGCACAUUAACAAUGACCCCUGUCUCUCCGAGUGUGCUGCACCCCGUCCUGUAAGGUUGUCAGCUCUCUCUUCUGAACCUUGCAUUGAACUAUUCCCUUGCCUUAUGGAAAUGUAUGGUACCUAAGUGGAUUUAUAAGGGUACAUUCACACAUACAUAUUACAUAAAGAUAUUUCUAAAAAAACGCCACGUUAAAUUUUACUUGCCUUUAACUGUAUGGAAAGCUGAUCAAGCUGCGUGCUAUCUUCUGGGACCGUUUCUUCAUGUAAUGAUCUGUU